UGGGGAAUCUUGCGCAAUGCGCGAAAGCGUGACGCAGCAACGCCGCGUGGGGGAAGAAGGCCUUCGGGUUGUAAACCCCUUUCAGUUGGGACGAAGCUUCGCCGGUGAACAGCCGGCUGGAGUGACGGUACCUUCACAAGAAGCCCCGGCUAACUACGUGCCAGCAGCCGCGGUAAUACGUAGGGGGCUAGCGUUGUCCGGAAUCAUUGGGCGUAAAGCGCGAGUAGGCGGCCCGGUAAGUCCGCUGUGAAAGUCGGGGGCUCAACCCUCGAAUGCCGGUGGAUACUGUUGGGCUUGAGUACGGAAGAGGCGAGUGGAGUUCCUGGUGUAGCGGUGAAAUGCGCAGAUAUCAGGAGGAACACCGAUUGCGAAGGCAGCUCGCUGGGACGUAACUGACGCUGAGACGCGAAAGCGUGGGGAGCAAACAGGAUUAGAUACCCUGGUAGUCCACGCUGUAAACGAUGGGCACUAGGUGUGGGGGGUGUCGGACUCCCUCCGUGCCGAAGUUAACG
rnacentral:rRNA from 1 species